AUUGGCCUUUAUAGAGCAAAAGAAGAACGUUUAAGAUAGAUAUGCUAUUUUGUUCUAUGUCUUCCGCAUCUGUGGCGGAAGGUGGCCGAGCUAUAGCGGWGUUUGUCAGACCGUGAGACAUCCCGAAAACCUCUGUAGKGUCCGAACGGUUUGACCUAGAAACUAAUAUGACCGCUCUAUGGAAAGAUGAGACUCUCGCGAACACGAUGGCYUUCUCCACACAAGUGUCARGGGACUCGUCUGAAGGAUCCAAAGCCUGUAUUAGGGGCACUGAUAGACGUGGCCCAACACCUGGGAAACCUGAGGUUCAAGAUAUGAGAGAAGGUGAAAUACACCCCAGUGACUCUGAACCUCAACACUGCGUCCCCAUGGCUCUCUCUCUCAAAUGGGUUCUGGCUCCAUGGCCCUGAGGGAUGGGGGCCAGUAC